ensembl:lncRNA
GAUAAAAUAAACCCACAAACGAAAGCGAUCAGCAACAGAAAGCAGAACGUCCUCUCUUCUCUGCAGCUCCAUGUGUCAUCAUGACGCAGAACAAAAUGUGAUUCAUGUAAAUCAUCCACUGCAGCGACGUUGUUGACCUUUAAUCGUUCUGAAGUCGGGAAGUUGUGUUUGUUUGUUUUUUUGUUUUUUUUUCUGGGCUUGCCAGGGGGCGGAUCUCCACAGCUGGAGGCAGCAGAGCGACGCUUCAGUCUCUUCAUACGGCAACACCGCGAUGUCUUGGAUCAAACUCCUGCUUUUUGCCACCUGUGCAGAUCUUCAGACAUCACCAGAAGGCAGCAUUCAGAGGCAGCAGAGUUUAUUGUCAACAAAAUCCCCCAGAGAAGUUCUGAGCAGCAGCUAGAAUCACCAGCAUGAAGAAGCAGAAACGGUUCAGUGUUCAGGAGGCACUGCAGGUCUUCAUGGAUGUUGAAGCAGCUCAGAUGAAGACCUUGAUUACAUUCCCAGCAACACAAAACACAGCAGUGUCAAAUAUGAGGCCCGCGGGCCAAAAGUGGUCCUCCAGAGGGUCCGAUCCGGUCCUCAAAGUAUCCUCUGUGAUCUGGAAGUUGUAAUGUGACUCGCUGUCAGACCAAGAGGGCUACCAGAGCAGCUCUGGUGGCAGCCUGAGUGGCUCUGAGUCCCCCACGCUGGACACCACCUGCCGCCUUCCCAUCUCUGAUGACUAGACUGCACGCAUCCACCAGUGACACAAAGAGAACAUGGCACUCCCCUCUACCUCUGCCCCUUCUACAGCUUCCCUGUCCUCCUCUACACAAGAUACUGUUAGUUCCUCAAUAGAAUUCUAAGGAUGUAAUCAAUUAAGGGAACCCGACUCAAAUUAUCAUUUCAUCCCGGCUAAUCUGCACAGCAAGUUUUAAAAAGUACCCUGUCAUGUGUCAUAGUGCCAAAAAGGAGAGGAAAUUGAACAAUGAAAAUCAUGAGAACAAGAAUUGACUGUUUUCCCAGGUGCCACUUGUUUUUUUUUUCUUUCUUCUUCAUUUGUUCGUGAAUGUGUAGCAGCACAAGUGGCCUUGGAAAGGGGAGUGCAUUGCACUAGCCCCUCCCCCCCGAUGAUACCACUUCCCCUGAGCUAGCUAGAGGGUGCUCACUAAUGUAACUGUAGCUUACCACAGACGUUUUACAGACUGAGUUAAGACAAAAAGGAAAAAAAAAUAAAAAAUAAGACCCUGAAAAUAUAUGAAUAGUUUUUUUUAAAAAAAAUAAUAAUAAGAAAAAAGUGCCUGGGGCGGUUUCUGCAUGUGUUUAGGGUGAAUGGACUAUUGUUUGUUUAUGAUUCUUUCUCAUUUGCCCCCCCUCACCCCCUUUUAUCGUCAUGGUUCUCCUCAAACCCCGGUUUAUGUAAUUGUGAUCUGGGUGAGUCUGCAGGAAGGACUUUGAACUGGAAGUUGGUUAUGUCCUCCUCCUCCUCCUCCUCCUGUUUUCUCCUCCUGUUGCUGGUCACUGGCUCUUUUUUGUUGUUGUUUGGGAAGGAAGUCUCGAUAUCAAGCUGAUCAUUAAACCUGUAAGACUUUGUCCUGCCCCCUGCCUCCAUUCGACACACACCUCCCUCUUCAUCCUCACCGAUCUGGGAAUUCUAGCAUUCCCAUGGUGCAGUUGUACAUCCUACAACUUGACAAGAUCGGAUCUCCAAGCUAUUUUACUUUACUUUCUCCCCCCCUCCAACUUUAGAACCUGCUCCAAGGAGCAUUCUGUACUCAUUACAUCUCUCUUUUUGCUUUCUUUAUUUGAUAAUUAUUUUUUAUUAAUGUUAUUAUUAUAGUUAUUAUUAUUUGAAAAACUUUACAGACAGAAGGUUUGCGUGUCACUGCUUAUUUAACUUAUCAGAACAUAUUUAUUGGUGAUCAUAUGCAUUUUUUGUUAAUUUUGUUUUUGUAUUUAUCUGGAUAAUGAACAAUAGGAUAUGUUUUCUUUUAUGUUAAAUUAUGAUCUUCCAUAUUAAUCUAAAGAUUGUGAAGACGUUUUUGUCAGUUUUCCUUUUCUCACAGUUUAAUAUAUUGUACUUCGAUGACUUUUGUUCUGCAACUACACUUUGUCAAAAUGAAACUUAAUUUCCCAGCCAGCAGGCAGAUGGGUUCCCCCACAUAAAGAGCCGGGUUCUGCUCCAGGUUUUUUUCCCUGUUAAAGGGUGUUUUACUGCCACUGUCUCCUUUUGGCUGCUCUGGGGGUUCAGGCAUAUGGGUUCUGUAAAGUGUCUUGAGACGAAUUGAAAUGAUAAACUUGUUGACAUUUUCACUUAUUUUUCUUAAGAAAUUUCAGGUUGUUCAUAAUGUUUUGUAAAAAGAUAGUUCAUUAAAUGUGAAUUUUUCUGUACUAAAACAAUAGGAAACAUUAGGAGUUGUUAUUUACAGGUUUUUAAGCUGUGCUUUUACUGGUCCGGCCCUUUGAGAUCAAACUGGGCUGAAUGUGGAUGUGAACUAAAAGGAGUUUGACACUCCUGGUUUAACACCAAAUCUCCUCCACCCAAGAGAGUUCAUGUUGGAGUUCCACAUCAUGUUUGCGCUGACAACGUUGGACACUUGUCUGUGAAAUAUGAAAUGUGAUUUGCUUCUUUGCGUCACUGAGGAAAGAAUUUCUUCCAGUUCACUGAAGUGUAAGUAUUUCCAUGUUAUGCUACCUUAUACUUGUAUUUUGUAGGCAAACAUUAAACUUUACAUUAUUCUAAGGCUUUAAAUACCAGCUAUUUUACAGAUUUAAACUUUGAUAUUAUAUUCUAAUAAAUUAAACCACCCAGCAGUGUAUAAAGUUGAUGAAAUGAGCUCCAGCUGCAUCAUUAACGUGAUUUUACACAUUAAUG